UACAGAGGUCUCAAGCGUUGUUCGGAUUCAUUGGGCGUAAAGGGUGCGUAGGUGGCGCUGUAAGUCGGGUGUGAAAUCUCGGGGCUUAACUCCGAAACUGCAUUCGAUACUGCCGUGCUUGAGGACUGGAGAGGAGACUGGAAUUUACGGUGUAGCGGUGAAAUGCGUAGAUAUCGUAAGGAAGACCAGUGGCGAAGGCGGGUCUCUGGACAGUUCCUGACGCUGAGGCACGAAGGUCAGGGGAGCAAACGGG
rnacentral:rRNA from 1 species